rnacentral:rRNA from 1 species
UGAGGAAUAUUGGUCAAUGGGCGCGAGCCUGAACCAGCCAAGUCGCGUGAAGGAUGAAGGUUCUAUGGAUUGUAAACUUCUUUUAUAGGGGAAUAAAGUGCAUCACGAGUGAUGUUUUGUAUGUACCCUAUGAAUAAGCAUCGGCUAACUCCGUGCCAGCAGCCGCGGUAAUACGGAGGAUGCGAGCGUUAUCCGGAUUUAUUGGGUUUAAAGGGUGCGUAGGUUGUUAUUUAAGUCAGCGGUGAAAGUUUGUGGCUCAACCAUAAAAUUGCCGUUGAAACUGAAUGACUUGAGUGUAUUUGAUGUAGGCGGAAUGCGUGGUGUAGCGGUGAAAUGCAUAGAUAUCACGCAGAACUCCGAUUGCGAAGGCAGCUUACAAAACUACAACUGACACUGAAGCACGAAAGCGUGGGUAUCAAACA